UACGUAGGGGGCGAGCGUUGUCCGGAUUUAUUGGGCGUAAAGAGCGUGUAGGCGGCCAGGUAGGUCUGCUGUGAAAACUCGAGGCUCAACCUCGAGACGUCGGCGGAAACCAUCUGGCUAGAGUCCGGAAGAGGAGAGUGGAAGUUCCUGGUGUAGCGGUGAAAUGCGCAGAUAUCAGGAAGAACACCCGUGGCGAAGGCGGCUCUCUGGGACGGUACUGACGCUGAAGACGCGAAAGCGUGGGGAGCGAACGG
rnacentral:rRNA from 1 species